GGUGCUAUGUUGGUUCUGGCUGCAUUUGCCCAUAGAUAGGAAUCAAUGAAAUGAGAGCAAAUAACUCUCAUUUUUUUAAGAGGAGACAUUAUAUAUACUGUGGAGUUUUGACAGCAGAAGUGCUCUUCGAUUUCUGAUGCAAUCUCUGUGAACACAGGCUGAGAAGAAAGUCUGCAGAGCCUGAAAUGGCUGCGGGGUCAGGAGCAGAGAAGAGUGCUUUCUCUGGGAGCACAGCAAACUGAACACUGUCAGCAGCUUUCUCAAGCGCAUAUCACAUGCCCCAGGCAGCCAGCCAGCCUACCUGUCUGAGAAAAACAGACCUGCUUUUCCCUGCCACACCCUGACCCCUGAGGAUGAUAACCCGUUGCCAAGAAACAUCAGCAAUAACUGUUUGGAAAACAGAUGCCUGUCAAGUUUCAUGUGGAACCGGCUUUCCCCGCCACGUCCUUUCCCAGCACGGACCUUGCUGUCGGCGCCACGGCCCCGCUCCCGCUCUGCACCUCCCAGGCCAGGCACCAGGGUCCGGUUGGUGCCGUGGCAUGACCCGGUGCAGAAGAUGCUCCCCUUGCGUGUGACCCACCGCACAUCAGAGAAAGCCACACCCUAGAAGCUGCAGGGUUUGCCUCGGAGGUUGAUUCGCAGCUAGCAGAGCACAGAAAAGCAGAAGCAGAAUACAGAAAAGUAUAGAAAAUAGGAUCCCAGUGCAGAAUGAGUCCCAAUCCAGAGGAGGAGACGGAGACUUUGUGAUUCUGUGCUGCAGGAAAAGUGCAGCUAGACUGAAACUAAAUGCU